rnacentral:piRNA from 1 species
GCACUCUCAUGAAUCUAAGGAUGCCCUCAAC